GCUGGACACAGUGGCACGUGCCUGUAGUCUCAGCUACUCAGGAGGCUGAGGUGGGAGGAUCAUUUGAGCCCAGGAGUUCUGGGCUGUAGCAUGCUAUGCUGAUGAGGUGUCUGCGCUAAGUUUUGCAUCAAUAUGGUGACCUCUUAAUAGUGUGGGACCACCAGGUUGCCUAAGGAGGGAUGGACCAGCUCAGGUUGGACAUGGAGCAGGUCAAAACUCCCAUGCUGAUCAGUAGUGGGAAAAUGCUAACUUGUAUCUGAAAUCCAUCUCAGUUGCCCCUUGCCUUGUCAGCAAUGAUCAAUGCAUUUUAA
ensembl:misc_RNA Metazoa_SRP Metazoan signal recognition particle RNA